AAACGUAGGGGGCGAGCGUUGUCCGGAAUUACUGGGCGUAAAGGGCUCGUAGGCGGCAGUCCAAGUCAGAUGUGAAAACCGACGGCUUAACCGGAGGAUUGCAUUUGAAACUGGGUUGCUUGAGGCAAGGAUAGGAAGGUGGAAUUCCCGGUGUAGCGGUGAUAUGCGUAGAUAUCGGGAGGAACCCCAGUGGCGAAGGCGGCCUUCUGGCCUUGACCUGACGCUGAGGAGCGAAAGCCAGGGUAGCAAACGGGAUUAGAUACCCCGGUAGUCCUGGCUAUAAACGAUGGACACUAGGUGUGGGUGGUAUCAACCCCAUCUGUGCCGCAGUUAACGCAUUAAGUGUCCCGCCUGGGGAGUACGGUCGCAAGGCUGAA
rnacentral:rRNA from 1 species